AAUGGAUCUAAGUAAAGUCAUUUACAAAUGUGUUCGCUGCAGCUCGGUAUACACAACUUGAAGUUGUUGAAGAUAUUAGAGGACAUGUUUGUCCAAUCCCUUUGGAACAGGCUAGUGCAUCGAAUGGGCCUAGUCAACUUCCACUAGGCCUACACAUUCCCGCUGCACCACUGCAUUUGCCUCCGGCUCCUGCACUACAGAAGUUAGCUCCUGCACCACUUAAUUUGCCUCCGGCUCCUGCACCACAGAAGUUGGCUCCUGCACCACUUAAUUUGUCUGUUGCUGGACCAUCACCUGCCUGUGCUCCAAAGUGGGCACCAUUCUCAACCCCCCAACAAAUGCAUAAAGAUACAAAGCCAUGGAUGCACAAUGCAACAUUACUUCUAAUUUCUCUGACAAAGCAAAUGGCUGAAGGCUUUCAAUCUCCUGUAUUAAAGAAAGUAGAAAUGUGGAAAAAGGUAGAUGCACAAAUGCUGGCAAAAGGAUAUGACUUUGGAGCAGAGGCAUGUGACAAUAAGUUCAGGCAGUUAAAGCACAGAUACAAAACAAUAGUGGACAGUAAAAAGAAGACUGGGAGUGGUACCAGCAGCUGGGUCUUUUUCUCAUCAAUGGAGGACCUCCUGGCUGAUGAUCCCAGUGUGGAGCCGGUCCUGAUCGUGUCAUCUUUUGCUGGAUCUUCAUCAGAUCCAGUUGGCCCAGGACCAUCAACUUCACAAUCAUCAACUUCACAACCAUCAUCUUCACAACCAUCAUCUUCACAACCUAAGCCAUCAGCAGAACAUGGCAAAAAGAGAAGGCGCAUGUCUGAAGCAUCCGAGUGGUUUGAUCAGUAUGUCACUGAGCAGAGGAGGCAGAUGUCAGAACUCAUGGCCCUGCAAAAGCAAGCAGUAGAAGUGGCAAGCGAACGUAACAACAUCUUAAAAUAAUUUGUUUCUGCUUUUCUGCAAGAGGAAAUUGUGUAGAACACAUGCAGCUGUUAUAACCACUGGUACUUUUUAAGGUCUUCCAUGAUCAAAUAAUUCAGUCGUCUCCAUUUCCCCUUUAGAAGGCCAAAUGCCCUUUCAAUCACAACUCUGGUUGAGCUGUGGAGUGUGUUAAAUUUUUUUUGCCUUCAUGAUAAGUGCCCAUUAUCUCAGUAUGGUGUAAUGAGAGAUGUGCUGAGUGGGUAUGCGGAGUCUCCAAGCAGGUGGUAGUCACUUCUUAUUACAUCCUGGAGAUGGCCAUAUAAUGGGCAGUUCUGAAACACCCUAGCAUCGUGCACAGACCCCGGCCAACCAGUGUACACAUCCAGGAACAUCAUCUGUGAUGUACACACUGCUUGGUGUUGAAUACUUGCAUGUCCUUUCCUGUUUAUGUAACUGUUUCUAUGGAGUGUGGGUGCUGGGAUGGCAAUGUGUGUGCCAUUGAUUGCUCCAAUGACUCCAGGGAAGCCAGUUUUUUCCUGAAAGCCAUUUGCCAGGUUUGCAAACUCAUCCUCUCUGGGCCAUAGAAUGUAUUCAUUUCUCAGUGUACAAAUGACCUUGCAAAUGUCGGAAAAAAUAUAAUGAAGGGUUCCUUUUGACAUAUAAAACCGGUCUGCAAUACCCCUGAAGCUCUCUUGGUUUGCCAACAACCAAAUAGUUUAUACUAAAUCAUUUUCGGGGUGUCCAAGGUUAGGUUUGCCAGUAAAGGACCAACUUUCUCACAGAGAGCCUGUAGACAUUUAUAGUAGAAGUUUCUACAUCCCUAUGAUGCUGUAAAUAAGCUGACACAAAUCUUGCUAUGGCUGUUGUAUACACACUGAUGCACAUACUGCUAUAUACAAUUGGGAAUUUGUAAGUAAAUGUAAUUGACAUCAAAAUAAAUGCACA
rnacentral:lncRNA from 1 species